rnacentral:tRNA from 1 species
GGGGCUGUAGUUUAGUUGGUAGAGUGCCUGCCUUGAAUGUAUAAGGCCCUGGGUUCAAUCCCAGCGCCGCCA